rnacentral:rRNA from 1 species
AUGAAAUACUUGCAUGAGUUGGAGGCCUGCAAGCCAAAACAGAAAGCUGCUCCGCUACAUGCAGCCCCAAAUAGGACACGCCCAGCUUGGAUUCCUCCUCCGCAGGGGGUGGCAAAGAUUAGAGUGGACGGAGCUGUGUCAAGGGCAGCUGUUGAAGGCUCCGUCAGUGCGGUCUGCAGGGACUCACAGGGACACUACUUAGGCUCCAAAGCUAUGAAGAUCCCGGGGAUGAAUGACCCAGCGACGCUUGAAGCUUUGGCAUGUCGGGAGGCGAUGGCGCUGGCCCUAGAUCUUGGACUCACGCAUGUGGAAAUAGCAUGUGAUAACAAGGAGGUGGUUGGAGACAUCAAUCAAAGAAUAGGAGGAAAUUAUGCUGCGGUGGUGAAGGAGAUAAACGCCACCUUGAAUCAGUUCUAUCAGUGUACUUUCAUUUUCGAGGGUAGAGGGGACAAAUUUAGAAGCACAUAG